UACAGAGGGGGCAAGCGUUGUUCGGAAUUACUGGGCGUAAAGGGCGCGUAGGCGGCCUUCUAAGUCGAACGUGAAAUCCCCGGGCUCAACCCGGGAACUGCGUCCGAUACUGGAAGGCUUGAAUCCGGGAGAGGGAUGCGGAAUUCCAGGUGUAGCGGUGAAAUGCGUAGAUAUCUGGAGGAACACCGGUGGCGAAGGCGGCAUCCUGGACCGGCAUUGACGCUGAGGAGCGAAAGCCAGGGGAGCAAAUGGG
rnacentral:rRNA from 1 species